CUGGCUGCCGGAAGAGAAUACUGUCGACUGGUUCGCUUCAACACAUCUUUCCCACAGCUCUGGAGCCUGGAAGUAAGGGACCAGGGUUUGGUCUGGUUCUUGGUGAAGGCUCUCUUCCUGGUUUAUAGCUAGCAAGCCAUCUUCUCAUUGUCUGGUUACGUAGCAGGAGGGACACCUGUCUCCAACCUGAGGAACUGAAGUCCCGACACAUAUGCAAGGCUGAAGGCACCAUUGGGCACCCAGGCAAAGCGAAGGCUGGAUGUUCUGGGCACAGAGAACAGCAUAGACACCAGCACUGAAGAUGCAGACACAGGGCUGGGCAGAGACACCAGCACUGAAGAUGCAGGCACAGGGCUGGGGGACAGAAAGAAGUUGAGGAGGGAGCGGGAGAAGGAAGUCGCAGAAGUGAGGCCAGUGAAGUGAGCGAUGUAAAGGCCUCGCAGACCACACAGCUGAGGACCCAGAAGCUGUGCCUGGACGGGCCUAGGAGCUGCGAAUUCAAAAGAUGAACAAGGCAAAGUCCCACGUGAACGACUUCUUUUACUGGACGGGCUAGUCUGAUUGGGGAAGACGAACCGCCACCUAAAGCGAAUGAUAAAUACUACAAUGAAAACAAAGCGAGUACGAUCGAGAGUGACAGGGAGACACUUUAAACUGGAUGACCCAGAAAGCCUAUCUGAGGGUGUGUUGUGAAUAACCAGAGGCGGCCAUGCAAAAAUCUCCAGGAGAAGAACAUGCUAGGAGGGAGGGACCUGCCGGUGCAAAGGCCAAAAGGUGAGGUUGAGCUGAGUGUGGAGGUGGUGAGAAGCCCGUGUGGCCGGAGUGGGGUGCACAGAGAGCCGCAGGAGAGGGGCUCAGGGAAGGGGGUGCAGCCAGAGCAGGGCGUCUUGCAGGUCAGAGCUCGGUUUUACCCUAAGCACCAUGGGAAGUCAUCAGAGGCUUCAGCAGCACAGUCACCGCGGUGCCUGUUGACAUGACCAGCGUCUCUGGCUGCUGCCUGGAGGGCAGAUCUGGGCCAGGGGAGCCGGCAGGAAGCCGGGAUGAAGAACACAGCUCCUUCCCGCUCUAACCCCACCUGUGCUGUCUUUCUUUGCAGUCUCCAAUUCCUCGUGACAACCCUGAGAGGUAGGAGUUAAUACGCCCAGAUGUCAAUGAGGGUCCUAUUUGUAUACUUUCCACAAAGCCCACCACAGUAUGGGGCUUGCAGCUGUCCCUUUAAUAAUAUUUGAUGUUUGAUUAAUAAGUUAAACAACCCAUUGAUUCCAUGUCUUCAAAGAAUCGGACAAAUCAAUUAAAAGGCCUAAAAACAAAGGCCAGACGGAGCAGCUGUUGGCCGGCCAUGGUCAGUUGCUUGACCGAGAAGGCCUGUCAAGCCCAAUUAAUGGGGCAAAGCCAAGAGUUCCCAACGACUCAGAGUCCCCACCGGCCAUGGCUCUCUGUCGCCAGUGUUCAGCUGCGUCUCUGUGCUUUCAGGAAUCUAAUGGAAAUUAAAACACCCUUUUCCAAACCUAGUUAUUUUCAAGUGUUCAGUGUUUGUUGCAUGAGGUUGGAUGUGGACCAGAAGGGCACAUCACACUUUAUAUGCUUCCUCCCGGAUUCACUCCUUGACGCAGGCCCUUAGGGCUUUCAUCCCAAACGGCCUGAAUCACCCAGAAGCCCGGGAAAGGUGUGGUCAUACUUCCUGUCCUAGCUCCUCGGUUCCUGGGCCAGGCGGAGACAUGGGCACCCACCACCAAUCACUGCUACGCUCGCAUAAAAGGCUCAGAGUGCCAGAGCCGCCUGGCCCCCGCAGCGCCUUCUGGGGAACCCCCACCCAGCCUGUUGAACGAGUAUAAGAUGCCAUGGCCUGAUGGUCC